rnacentral:rRNA from 1 species
GACGAACGCUGGCGGCGUGCUUAACACAUGCAAGUCGAACGGAAAGGCCCUGCUUUUGUGGGGUGCUCGAGUGGCGAACGGGUGAGUAACACGUGAGUAACCUGCCCUUGACUUUGGGAUAACUUCAGGAAACUGGGGCUAAUACCGGAUAGGAGCUCCUGCUGCAUGGUGGGGGUUGGAAAGGUUCGGCGGUUGGGGAUGGACUCGCGGGUUAUCAGCUUGUUGGUGGGGUAGUGGCUUACCAAGGCUUUGACGGGUAGCCGGCCUGAGAGGGUGACCGGCCACAUUGGGACUGAGAGACGGCCCAGACUCCUACGGGAGGCAGCAGUGGGGAAUAUUGCACAAUGGGCGGAAGCCUGAUGCAGCAACGCCGCGUGCGGGAUGACGGCCUUCGGGUUGUAAACCGCUUUCGCCUGUGACGAAGCGUGAGUGACGGUAAUGGGUAAAGAAGCACCGGCUAACUACGUG